rnacentral:rRNA from 1 species
GAUGAACGAUGGCGGCGUGCCUAAUACAUGCAAGUCGAGCGAACAGAUGAGGAGCUUGCUCCUCUGACGUUAGCGGCGGACGGGUGAGUAACACGUGGAUAACCUACCUAUAAGACUGGGAUAACUUCGGGAAACCGGAGCUAAUACCGGAUAAUAUAUUGAACCGCAUGGUUCAAUAGUGAAAGACGGUUUUGCUGUCACUUAUAGAUGGAUCCGCGCCGCAUUAGCUAGUUGGUAAGGUAACGGCUUACCAAGGCAACGAUGCGUAGCCGACCUGAGAGGGUGAUCGGCCACACUGGAACUGAGACACGGUCCAGACUCCUACGGGAGGCAGCAGUAGGGAAUCUUCCGCAAUGGGCGAAAGCUUGACGGAGCAACGCCGCGUGAGUGAUGAAGGUCUUCGGAUCGUAAAACUCUGUUAUUAGGGAAGAACAAAUGUGUAAGUAACUAUGCACGUCUUGACGGUACCUAAUCAGAAAGCCACGGCUAACUACGUG